AAAUUGAAGAGUUUGAUCAUGGCUCAGAUUGAACGCUGGCGGCAGGCCUAACACAUGCAAGUCGAGCGGUAGCACAGGAGAGCUUGCUCUCCGGGUGACGAGCGGCGGACGGGUGAGUAAUGUCUGGGAAACUGCCUGAUGGAGGGGGAUAACUACUGGAAACGGUAGCUAAUACCGCAUAACGUCGCAAGACCAAAGAGGGGGACCUUCGGGCCUCUUGCCAUCAGAUGUGCCCAGAUGGGAUUAGCUAGUAGGUGGGGUAACGGCUCACCUAGGCGACGAUCCCUAGCUGGUCUGAGAGGAUGACCAGCCACACUGGAACUGAGACACGGUCCAGACUCCUACGGGAGGCAGCAGUGGGGAAUAUUGCACAAUGGGCGCAAGCCUGAUGCAGCCAUGCCGCGUGUAUGAAGAAGGCCUUCGGGUUGUAAAGUACUUUCAGCGGGGAGGAAGGCGAUAAGGUUAAUAACCUUGUCGAUUGACGUUACCCGCAGAAGAAGCACCGGCUAACUCCGUGCCAGCAGCCGCGGUAAUACGGAGGGUGCAAGCGUUAAUCGGAAUUACUGGGCGUAAAGCGCACGCAGGCGGUCUGUCAAGUCGGAUGUGAAAUCCCCGGGCUCAACCUGGGAACUGCAUUCGAAACUGGCAGGCUAGAGUCUUGUAGAGGGGGGUAGAAUUCCAGGUGUAGCGGUGAAAUGCGUAGAGAUCUGGAGGAAUACCGGUGGCGAAGGCGGCCCCCUGGACAAAGACUGACGCUCAGGUGCGAAAGCGUGGGGAGCAAACAGGAUUAGAUACCCUGGUAGUCCACGCCGUAAACGAUGUCGACUUGGAGGUUGUGCCCUUGAGGCGUGGCUUCCGGAGCUAACGCGUUAAGUCGACCGCCUGGGGAGUACGGCCGCAAGGUUAAAACUCAAAUGAAUUGACGGGGGCCCGCACAAGCGGUGGAGCAUGUGGUUUAAUUCGAUGCAACGCGAAGAACCUUACCUACUCUUGACAUCCAGAGAACUUUCCAGAGAUGGAUUGGUGCCUUCGGGAACUCUGAGACAGGUGCUGCAUGGCUGUCGUCAGCUCGUGUUGUGAAAUGUUGGGUUAAGUCCCGCAACGAGCGCAACCCUUAUCCUUUGUUGCCAGCGGUUCGGCCGGGAACUCAAAGGAGACUGCCAGUGAUAAACUGGAGGAAGGUGGGGAUGACGUCAAGUCAUCAUGGCCCUUACGAGUAGGGCUACACACGUGCUACAAUGGCGCAUACAAAGAGAAGCGACCUCGCGAGAGCAAGCGGACCUCAUAAAGUGCGUCGUAGUCCGGAUUGGAGUCUGCAACUCGACUCCAUGAAGUCGGAAUCGCUAGUAAUCGUAGAUCAGAAUGCUACGGUGAAUACGUUCCCGGGCCUUGUACACACCGCCCGUCACACCAUGGGAGUGGGUUGCAAAAGAAGUAGGUAGCUUAACCUUCGGGAGGGCGCUUACCACUUUGUGAUUCAUGACUGGGGUGAAGUCGUAACAAGGUAACCGUAGGGGAACCUGCGGUUGGAUCACCUCCUUA
rnacentral:rRNA from 2 species